rnacentral:rRNA from 1 species
ACUCCUACGGGAGGCAGCAGUGGGGAUAUUGGACAAUGGGCGCAAGCCUGAUCCAGCCAUGCCGCGUGAGUGAUGAAGGCCUUAGGGUUGUAAAGCUCUUUCACCGAUGAAGAUAAUGACGGUAGUCGGAGAAGAAGCCCCGGCUAACUUCGUGCCAGCAGCCGCGGUAAU